rnacentral:rRNA from 1 species
AUGCCUCCCCCCUCUAGUGUAGCAUUAAAAUACGCCUUGAAUGUUGAUGAAAUCACUGAUCUGGAUUUGGAGGAUGAUACCGAGGAGCAAGCAUCUCCGACAAUAGCUAGUGGAUCUAAAGUGAGGCUUGGGAUCACGAUUCCGGAGAAGAACAAGAUACCGAAGACCGCACAAGUGAUGCAGGAGGAGAUUAGAAAGAUUAGUUCCAUUGCCCAUGCUUCACACACAUUGUUUCAGUCUUUCCUACAGAAAGAUGAGACCACCUCUGUUUCCUCUACGAUGGAUUUAGUUCAUGCUUGCGAUGCAAUAGAAGGCACAGAUGAGGACUUCAUUGCUACUGAGCUCUUUAUAAAGAGGGAGCAAAGGGAGAUGUUCUUGCACAUGACAGCUGACUCUCGAAAGGGUUGUUGCGUAGGAGGUUUGACCUCAAAUGUCAUCAGAUAG